UUGAAAUUAAGUGGUUGCAAAAGGUGCAAAGAAAUUCCAUCGUUUGGCCAACUGAAGUUCCUUCGGUAUCUUGAGCUGAUAGGAUUCCUUGAAUUGGAAUGCAUCGGACCUACAUUUUAUGGUGUUGAGAUUAAUGGCAAUAUCCAAGUGUUCCUCUCAUUGAAAGAACUUGUAUUGGAGGAUAUGCGUAGCCUUAUUGAGUGGAAGGGAGAUGAAGUUGGAGAAAGACUGUUUCCCACGCUUGAGAAGUUGAGGAUUACAAAGUGUCCACUGUUAAAAAGUACUCCAACUCAAUUUGAAAUCCUGCGUGAAUUAAGAAUUGAAGGAGUUGACAGUGAAAUGCCAUUGUUGAACUUGUGGAGCAACUUGACAUCUCUUGUGAAUCUUUUUGUCAGUAACGUGAAAGAGCUCACUUGUCUACCAGAUGAGAUGCUACUGUUGAAAAGUGAUUCAUAUACUUGACCAAGUCUUCAGGAGUUUGUUAGUUAGUUUCCUUUAUCUUAGCAUGUUUAGAUAUUGUGGCAGAUUAGUAGCUAAUUAGUAGUUAGUGGUUUAGUGGACCUAGAUUUUAGUAUUUUCUGUUUUACAGUAAGCCUAUUUAUAGGCAGACUUGUUGCUUCCAUUAUAAAUUAGAAACAAAACUUUGCAGUAGCUUUUACUUCUGUUUUUUGCUAUAUUUUUCUGUUCACUUUCUCCUUUACUUCCUUUUUUCUUUCCAACAAAUCUGGUAUCAAGAGCAAGGUUCCUUUCUGGAAAGUGUGAGGAAAAAUGGCAGUAAAUGGUAUUUCAUCAUCUUCCCAACAACUCAUGCCAAUUUUUACUGGUGAAAAGUAUGAGUUUUGGAGUAUCAAAAUGAAAACUCUUUUCAAAUCACAAGGAGUUUGGGAUUUGGUUGAAGCAGGCUUCGUGGAGCAAUCAGACUCUGACGAAGAGACGGAAAAAUUGAAAGAGAUAAAAAAGAAGGAUGCGAAAGCACUAUUCCUGAUUCAACAAGCAGUCCACGAUACAAUUUUUUCAAGAAUUGCAGCAGCAACUACAUCUUCGCAGGCAUGGAAGAUUUUGAAGAAGGAAUUUCAAGGUUCAGCUAAGGUGAUUACGGUAAAAUUACAGACUUACCGUCGUGACUUUGAAACUCUUUCUAUGAAAAGUAAUGAAUCUGUUCAAACUUAUUUGUCUAGAGUUUCUUCUCUUGUUAAUCAAAUGAAGCCUUAUGGUGAAAUCAUAUCUGAAGAAACGGUUGUAGCAAAAGUUUUAAGGAGUCUUACUUCAAAGUUUGAACAUAUUGUUGUUGCGAUUGAGGAAUCUCAUGACUUAUCUGAGUAUACUUUUGAUGAACUAAUGAGUUCUUUGCAAGCUCAUGAAGAGAGGCUCCUAAGAUCGCAUGAAAAAAAUGAAGAGAAGGUAUUCCAGGUGAAGGGGGAGUCCAUUCAUCAGAAAGAUAAGCUAGAAAUCUUUGCAAAUCGUGGAAGAGGCAGAGGUGGUUUUCGAGGAAGAGGCCGUGGAAGAGGCCAAGGAAGAAAUCGAGAUAGAGGAGGAUCAAAUGAAGAGAAGCAGGCUAAGACGUUUCUGUGCAACUACUGCAGAAAAUCAGGUCAUAAAGAAGCUUAUUGUUGGCAAAAACAGAGGGAUGAGAAUAACCAAGCAAGCUUUGUAGAGGAAAAUGAUGAUGACAGUAAGUUGUUCAUGGCCCUUUAUUGUGAAAAAGAAACUCCUAACGAUUUUUGGUUCUUGGACAGUGGUUGUUCCAAUCAUAUGUCUGGAACAAGAUCAUUGUUCAAGGAGCUCGAUGAGUCAAAAAAAUCAGAUGUAAGGCUAGGAGACAACAAGAAGAUUCAGGUUGAAGGUAGAGGUACAGUUAGCAUUAUGACCAGCCAAGGUAAUGCUAAGAUUUUAGAAGAUGUGAUGUUUGUUCCUAGUCUAUCUCAUAAUUUGCUUAGCAUUGGACAACUAAUGAUUAGCGGAUACUCAAUUUUCUUUGACGAUGGUGUUUGCACUAUUAAAAAUAAGAAAAUCUGAGAAAAUCAUUGCUAAAAGUUCCAAUGGCUAACAAUAAAAUGUUUCCUCUAGACGUUUCAAUGGUUGAGAGGUGUGCUAUGGUAGCUAGUGGAGAUAAUGAAACUAGACUAUGGCAUUUACGUUAUGGGGUCAUUUAAACGUUAAUGGAUUGAAGUUAUUGAGUCAAAAGGAAAUGGUUUUUGGUUGCCAAAAGUUGAGAAUCUUGAUUUUUGUGAAAGUUGUGUUUAUGGGAAAUAAAGUAAAAAAUGUUUUCCUAUAAGCAAGUCUUGGAGAGCUUCUGUUUGUCUUGAGUUAGUACAUGCUGAUUUGUGUGGUCCUAUGAGUGUUGAGUCUUUAGGGGGAAGUCGAUACUUUCUGCUUUUUACUGAUGAUUAUAGUCGUAUGAGUUGGAUAUAUUUCUUGAAAUUUAAAUCUGAAACUUUUGACAAUUUCAAGAAAUUUAAAUCUUUUGUUGAGAGACAAAGUGGAUGUAGACUCAAAACACUUCGAACAGAUAGAGGUGGUGAGUUUAUGUCAAAAGAAUUCAGUUCCUUUUGUGAGGAAAAUGGAAUACACAGAGAACUCACAGCACCUUAUACACCAGAGCAAAAUGGUGUAGCAGAACGAAAGAACCGCACAGUUGUCGAGAUGGGCAGAAGCAUGAUGGAAGGUAGAGGUGUACUGAAGUGUUUUUGGGCUGAAGCUGUUGCCACUGCUGUCUAUUUGCUGAAUAUUUCUCCUACUAAGGCAGUGUUUAAUCAAACACCAUAUGAAGCUUGGAGAGGUAACAAGCCCAAGGUAAGCCACUUACGUGUCUUUGGUUGUAUAGCUUAUGCCUUGAUAAAUUCACAAGCUCGACGUAAGCUUGAUGAAAAAUGUGAAAAAUGUAUUUUUGUUGGAUAUAGCACACAAUCCAAGGCUUAUAAGUUAUAUAAUCCAGUGAGUGGUAAGAUUACGGUCAAUAGAAAUGUUGUGUUUAAUGAAGAUGCAAGUUGGAAUUUUAAUUCCACAAAUGAAAGUUCAAACAUUAAGUUGUUGCCUUCUGACGAUAUUAUUGAUCAAGAGUAUGUAGCUGAUCCUUUUUUGGCUGGUCCAUCGUCUACCUCAUCAAUUGCACCAACAACUUCUCCAAUAUUGGAAAAACCUUCCGCUGAGCCAAUUCCAUUAAAAAGAUCAACAAGAGAUAGGAAACAAAAUCCUAGAUAUGCUAACAAUACAUCUUGUACCUUUGCUUUACUUGUUUUAGAUCCUAUCCUCUUUGAAGAUGCUGAAAAAGAGGAUAAAUGGUGCAAGGCUAUGGAAGAAGAGUUGAUGGCUAUUCAAAAGAAUCAGACAUGGGACUUGGUAAAUUUGCCUGAAGGAAAGAAAGCUAUUGGGCUCAAAUGGGUGUUUAGAACCAACUAUCAUGCUGAUGGCAGCAUCUAAAAACAUAAGGCAAGGCUCGUCGCAAAAGGUUAUUCCCAGCAACAAGGUAUUGACUUUGAAGAAACUUUUUCUCCUGUUGCUCGCUUUGAAACUGUGAGAACUUUUUUAGCCUUGGCUGCUAAUUUAAGUUGGCCAGUUUACCAAUUCGAUGUUAAAUCUGCCUUUUUAAAUGGUGAUUUGGAAGAGAAAGUCUAUGUCUCACAACCUGAAGGUUUUGUAGUAAAUGGCAAAGAAGAUAAUGUCUAUAGGUUAAAAAAGGCACUUUAUGGCUUAAAGCAAGCGCCGCGGGCAUGGUACUUCAAGAUUGAUUCAUAUUUCCAUGAGAAUGGUUUUGAAAGGAGUAACAAUGAACCUACUCUUUAUGUAAAACGAGAAGGUAAAAAUGAUUUUUUGGUCGUAUGUCUUUACGUUGAUGAUAUGAUAUAUAUGGGUUCGAAUGAGUCUAUGAUCACUGAUUUUAAGGACUGCAUGAUGAAGAAUUUUGAGAUGUCUGAUUUGGGUCUACUACAUUAUUUUCUUGGUCUUGAGGUGAAACAGGGAAUCGAAGGCAUAUUUCUUUCACAAAGAAAAUAUGCGACAGAUCUUUUGAAAAAGUUUACUAUGGUAAAUUAUAAAGUUGCUGUUACGCCGAUGAAUAUUAAUGAAAAGUUGUGUCGUGAUGAUGGUUCUGAAAUGGCAAAUGCAACUUAUUUUAGAAGUCUGGUUGGUGGUUUGAAUUACUUGUCUCAUACAAGACCAGAUAUUGCUUUCUCUGUUGGCGUUAUAUCGAGAUUUAUGCACAAUCCAAGCAAGCUUUCACCUUGGAGCUGCAAAGAGAGUACUAAGAUAUAUUGCUGGGACAACAAAGCAAUGGAAAUUUGGUAUUCUAAGGUAACAAAUUUCACAUUAACUGGCUUUACUGAUAGUGACUACGCAGGCAGCAUUGAUGAUCGAAAGAGCACAUCUGGUUUCUUGUUUAAUCUUGGGUCUGGAGCAGUUUCAUGGAGUUCAAAGAAGCAGGAAGUGGUCGCUUUAUCAACUUCAGAGGCUGAAUAUAUUGCAGCAACCUCUGCAGCUUGUCAAGCAGUUUGGUUAAGGAGACUUGUUGCAGAUUUUAACCAGAAACCGACUGGUGCAACUGAGAUUUUUUGUGACAAUAUAUCUGCUAUUGCGAUGACGAAGAAGCCAGCAUUUCACAGCAGAACAAAGCACAUUGGUAUUCGCUAUCACUAUAUUAGAGGUCUUGUUUCUACAGGAGAAAUUACUUUGAAGUCUUGUGAUACAAAUGAGCAAGCAGCAGACAUCUUCACGAAGUCACUUCCGCAAGCAAAGCACGAGUUCUUCAAAGGUCAACUUGGAGUUUGCUGUUUUGAAUCAAGGGGGAGUGUUGAAAAGUGAUUCAUAUACUUGACCAAGUCUUCAGGAGUUUGUUAGUUAGUUUCCUUUAUCUUAGCAUGUUUAGAUAUUGUGGCAGAUUAGUAGCUAAUUAGUAGUUAGUGGUUUAGUGGACCUAGAUUUUAGUAUUUUCUGUUUUACAGUAAGCCUAUUUAUAGGCAGACUUGUUGCUUCCAUUAUCUAUCAGAAACAAAAUCCUUGCAGUAGCUUUUUACUUCUGUCUUUGCUCUAUUUUUCUGUUCACUUUCUCCUUUACUUCCUUUUUCUUUCCAACAG
rnacentral:lncRNA from 1 species